GAUGAACGCUGGCGGCGUGCCUAAUACAUGCAAGUCGAGCGAACAGACGAGGAGCUUGCUCCUCUGACGUUAGCGGCGGACGGGUGAGUAACACGUGGAUAACCUACCUAUAAGACUGGGAUAACUUCGGGAAACCGGAGCUAAUACCGGAUAAUAUAUUGAACCGCAUGGUUCAAUAGUGAAAGACGGUUUUGCUGUCACUUAUAGAUGGAUCCGCGCCGCAUUAGCUAGUUGGUAAGGUAACGGCUUACCAAGGCAACGAUGCGUAGCCGACCUGAGAGGGUGAUCGGCCACACUGGAACUGAGACACGGUCCAGACACCUACGGGAGGCAGCAGUAGGGAAUCUUCCGCAAUGGGCGAAAGCCUGACGGAGCAACGCCGCGUGAGUGAUGAAGGUCUUCGGAUCGUAAAACUCUGUUAUUAGGGAAGAACAAAUGUGUAAGUAACUAUACACGUCUUGACGGUACCUAAUCAGAAAGCCACGGCUAACUACGUG
rnacentral:rRNA from 1 species